rnacentral:tmRNA from 1 species
CCCCUUCCAAAACCCCCAAAUCAUCCCUAUAUUGGUCAUGUCUUCGGACUAUGGCGAUAAACGCGCGUGCAAUAAGCGGUUCGGACCCGGGGGCGGUACCCGG